CAUAUCGGACUUAUCCUUACAUGCUUGAAAGCCACAGAUUGGGAAGUGGCUGCGGAGAAUGGUUUCCUUGGGAAGUUAUUGCGCGUGCCCAGUGCCCCGCUCUAUCUACUUCCUCGCCACGACCACAAUCUUCAACGUCGAGGGAUAGGCCAAUGGCUGACUCCACUUCACUCCACCUUCGUCUCUCCUUCUACGGACAUCCACCAUCCACUCUUCCACCUCCACUGUCCAUCCACGACAGCAUCAUCAACACAGCGCAUGAUGCUCCUCCCAAACCCCAAGCCUUCAGAUGAGUUCUGGUUAAAGAUAAGGUCUCAAGUCCCACUCCAAGGCCCACCUGGCAGAACUUUUCCUCGCUAAGCAGUUUACUACCGAUGGAAGAGGUCACAGGCCGGAACAUCACCUUGGUCGGGAAUUUUACAUGUGCUCUCUGGGAGUCGGAGUCGUCCCUCUCUUGCAAAUAUUUCCAACAAAUGUCCAUCCGUCCGUCAGUAUUUCUGUCGUAGACUGGAAUAUUCAAAUAAAUCUUUCCUGAAGUCUAACUCCAACAUAACCUUUUUCUGAUCUCGCUUUUGAA